GACAGAGGGGCAAGCGUUGCUCGGAAUCACUGGGCGUAAAGGGCGCGUGGGCGGGAUGGCAAGUCAGUCGUGAAAUCUCUCGGCUCAACCGAGAAACGUCGGCUGAUACUGCCGUUCUUGAGGGAUGCAGAGGAGACUGGAAUUCCCGGUGUAGCGGUGAAAUGUGUAGAGAUCGGGAGGAACACCGGUGGCGAAGGCGGGUCUCUGGGCAUCUCCUGACGCUGAGGCGCGAAAGCGUGGGGAGCAAACGGG
rnacentral:rRNA from 1 species